rnacentral:rRNA from 1 species
UACGGUAGCUAUAGCGGUGGGGUUCACCUCUUCCCAUUCCGAACAGAGAAGUUAAGCCCACUUGCGCCAAUGGUACUGGGGUAACACCCGGGAGAGUAGGUCGCUGCCGGUU